UACGAAGGGGCUAGCGUUGCUCGGAAUCACUGGCGUAAAGGGUGCGUAGGCGGGUCUUUAAGUCAGGGGUGAAAUCCUGGAGCUCAACUCCAGAACUGCCUUUGAUACUGAAGAUCUUGAGUUCGGGAGAGGUGAGUGGAACUCCGAGUGUAGAGGUGAAAUUCGUAGAUAUUAGGAAGAACACCGGUGGCGAAGGCGGCCCACUGGAUCGGUACUGACGCUGAGGUGCGAAAGCGUGGGGAGCAAACAGG
rnacentral:rRNA from 1 species